rnacentral:rRNA from 1 species
AGCGAACGCUGGCGGCAGGCCUAACACAUGCAAGUCGAACGAACCUUUCGGGGUUAGUGGCGGACGGGGGAGUAACACGUGGGAACGUGCCUUUAGGUUCGGAAUAACUCAGGGAAACUUGUGCUAAUACCGAAUGUGCCCUUCGGGGGAAAGAUUAAUCGCCUUUAGAGCGGCCCGCGUCUGAUUAGCUAGUUGGUUGAGGUAAUGGCUCACCAAGGCGACGAUCAGUAGCUGGUCUGAGAGGAUGAUCAGCCACAUUGGGACUGAGACACGGCCCAAACUCCUACGGGAGGCAGCAGUGGGGAAUCUUGCGCAAUGGGCGAAAGCCUGACGCAGCCAUGCCGCGUGAAUGAUGAAGGUCUUAGGAUUGUAAAAUUCUUUCACCGGGGACGAUAAUGACGGUACCCGGAGAAGAAGCCCCGGCUAACUUCGUG